GAUCCAGCAAUGCCGCGUGCAGGAAGAAGGCCUUCGGGUUGUAAACUGCUUUUGUCAGGGAAGAAAUCCUCUGGGUUAAUACCUCGGGGGGAUGACGGUACCUGAAGAAUAAGCACCGGCUAACUACGUGCCAGCAGCCGCGGUCAUACGUAGGGUGCAAGCAUUAUCCGGAGUGACUGGGCGUAAAGAGUUGCGUAGGUGGACAAGUAAGCGAAUAGUGAAAUCUGGCGGCUCAACCGUACAGACUAUUAUUCGAACUGCUUGUCUCGAGAAUGGUAGAGGUAACUGGAAUUUCUAGUGUAGGAGUGAAAUCCGUAGAUAUUAGAAGGAACACCAAUGGCGUAGGCAGGUUACUGGACCAUUUCUGACACUGAGGCACGAAAGCGUGGGGAGCGAACCGGAUUAGAUACCCGGGUAGUCCACGCCGUAAACUAUGGAUACUAGCUGUUGGAGGUAUCGACCCCUUCAGUAGCGAAGCUAACGCGUUAAGUAUCCCGCCUGUGGAGUACGGUCGCAAGACUAAAACAUAAAGGAAUUGACGGGGACCCGCACAAGCGGUGGAGCGUGUUCUUUAAUUCGAUGAUAAACGAAGAACCUUACCAGGGCUUGACAUCCCUUGAAUUACUCCGAAAGGAGUGAGUGCUUUAUUGAGCAAGGUGACAGGUGUUGCAUGGCCGUCGUCAGCUCGUGUCGUGAGAUGUUUGGUUAAGUCCAUCAACGAGCGCAACCCUUGUGAUUAGUUGUAUUUUUCUAAUCAGACUGCCCCGGUAACGGGGAGGAAGGAGGGGAUGAUGUCAGGUCAGUAUUACCCUUACGCCCUGGGCUAGAAACGCGCUACAAUGGCUGGUACAAUGCGCUGCGAAGUCGCGAGAUGGAGCAAAUCGCAUCAAAGCCAGUCCCAGUUCGGAUUGUAGGCUGAAACUCGCCUGCAUGAAGUCGGAAUCGCUAGUAAUCGCAGAUCAGCAUGCUGCGGUGAAUACGUUCCCGGGUCUUGUACACACCGCCCGUCACACCAUGGGAGUG
rnacentral:rRNA from 1 species